rnacentral:rRNA from 1 species
UCGAUUAGAGUUUGAUCAUGGCUCAGAACGAACGCUGGCGGCAUGCCUAACACAUGCAAGUCGAACGAAGGCUUCGGCCUUAGUGGCGCACGGGUGCGUAACGCGUGGGAAUCUGCCCUUGGGUUCGGAAUAACAGUUAGAAAUGACUGCUAAUACCGGAUGAUGACGAAAGUCCAAAGAUUUAUCGCCCAGGGAUGAGCCCGCGUAAGAUUAGGUAGUUGGUGGGGUAAAGGCUCACCAAGCCGACGAUCCUUAGCUGGUCUGAGAGGAUGAUCAGCCACACUGGGACUGAGACACGGCCCAGACUCCUACGGGAGGCAGCAGUGGGGAAUAUUGGACAAUGGGCGCAAGCCUGAUUCAGCAAUGCCGCGUGAGUGAUGAAGGCCUUAGGGUCGUAAGGCUCUUUUACCCGGGAUGAUAAUGACAGUACCUGGAGAAUAAGCUCCGGCUAACUC